CGUCAGUGACUAGCUAACUGAAAUCAAUUAAAAUUGAUAACAUAAGGGAAAAUAAUGAUAUUACCUUAUUAUUAGUGUCGUCCAAAACUGGUGCCAGAAGACUCGGUAAGGCCAGAGACACAAACGUUAAUCGUCUUAAUCAGGCGUAAAGGGUUUGUAGGCGGCUUUUAAUUUACUUAUAUAUAUUUAAAAAUAAGUUAAGAAUAAAAGCUAGAAUCAAAUAGAGGAUAUAUCAAAUAAUGCUUAGAGUAGGUCUGAUAUCCUUAGAUACUAAGUAGAAUAUUAAAGGCGAAAGCUUUUUUCCAUAAAUGAUUGACGCUCAGAAACGAAGGUGAGGAUAGAAAAUAGGAUUAGAUACCCAAAAUAUCCCUCUCUGUCAACGAUGAAUGGUAAUUAUUAAUAAUAAAUUUAUUAUUAAUGGCAAUGUUAACACGAUAACCAUUCCGCCUUGUGAGUACAACUGCAAAGUUGAAAACAAAAAAAUUAGUCGGUUUCGGAGCAAACGAAGUGAAGCAUGUUAUUUAUUGAAUUAAUCUCCGCG
rnacentral:rRNA from 1 species